rnacentral:rRNA from 1 species
CCAGAAAGCCACGGCUAACUACGUGCCAGCAGCCGCGGUAAUACGUAGGUGGCAAGCGUUGUCCGGAAUUAUUGGGCGUAAAGGGCUCGCAGGCGGUUUCUUAAGUCUGAUGUGAAAGCCCCCGGCUCAACCGGGGAGGGUCAUUGGAAACUGGGAAACUUGAGUGCAGAAGAGGAGAGUGGAAUUCCACGUGUAGCGGUGAAAUGCGUAGAGAUGUGGAGGAACACCAGUGGCGAAGGCGACUCUCUGGUCUGUAACUGACGCUGAGGAGCGAAAGCGUGGGGAGCGAACAGGAUUAGAUACCCUGGUAGUCCACGCCGUAAACGAUGAGUGCUAAGUGUUAGGGGGUUUCCGCCCCUUAGUGCUGCAGCUAACGCAUUAAGCACUCCGCCUGGGGAGUACGGUCGCAAGACUGAAACUCAAAGGAAUUGACGGGGGCCCGCACAAGCGGUGGAGCAUGUGGUUUAAUU